rnacentral:rRNA from 1 species
GAUGAACGCUGGCGGCGUGCCUAAUACAUGCAAGUCGAGCGAACAGACGAGGAGCUUGCUCCUCUGACGUUAGCGGCGGACGGGCGAGUAACACGUGGAUAACCUACCUAUAAGACGGGAGUAACUUCGGGAAACCGGAGCUAAUACCGGAGAAUAUAUUGAACCGCAUGGGUCAAUAGUGAAAGACGGUUCUGCUGUCACUUAUAGAUGGAUCCGCGCCGCAUUAGCUAGUUGGUAAGGUAACGGCUUACCAAGGCAACGAUGCGUAGCCGACCUGAGAGGGUGAUCGGCCACACUGGAACUGAGACACGGUCCAGACUCCUACGGGAGGCAGCAGGAGGGAAUCUUCCGCAAUGGGCGAAAGCCUGACGGAGCAACGCCGCGGGAGUGAUGAAGGUCUUCGGAUCGUAAAACUCUGUUAUUAGGGAAGAACAAAUGUGUAAGUAACGAUGCACGUCUUGACGGUACCUAAUCAGAAAGCCACGGCUAACUACGU